rnacentral:sRNA from 1 species
GUGGAGCUGCUGCCGGCCGCCAAAGAA